AGCAGCCGCGGUAAUUCCAGCUCCAAUAGCGUAUAUUAAAGUUGUUGCAGUUAAAAAGCUCGUAGUUGAACUUCGGGAUCAAUUAGUUGGUCAUGCCUUGGUAUGUACUGAUUUAUUGGUUCUCACCUUCUAAAGAACUAUAAUGUCAUUUAUUUGAUGUUAUAGGGAAUUAGGACUGUUACCUUGAAAAAAUUAGAGUGUUUAAAGCAGGCUCACGCUUGAAUGCAUUAGCAUGGAAUAAUGAAAUAGGACAUCGCAUUCUAUUUUUGUUGGUUUCUAGGAUCGAUGUAAUGAUUAAUAGGGAUAGUUGGGGGCAUUAGUAUUCAAUUGUCAGAGGUGAAAUUCUUGGAUUUAUUGAAGACUAACUACUGCGAAAGCAUUUGCCAAGGAUGUUUUC
rnacentral:rRNA from 1 species